rnacentral:rRNA from 1 species
AAUCAACGCUGGCGGCGUGCCUCAGACAUGCAAGUCGAACGCGAAAGUCCCCUUCGGGGGACGAAGUAGAGUGGCGCACGGGUGAGUAACACGUAGGUAAUCUACCUUCGGAUGGGGAAUAACAAUCGGAAACGGUUGCUAAUACCGCAUAAUGCAGCGGCACCUAAUGGUGACAGUUGUUAAAGCGGGGGAGUCGAAAGACCUCGNGUCUGAAGAGGAGCCUGCGGCGGAUUAGCAGUUGG